CCUACGGGUGGCAGCAGUAGGGAAUAUUGCUCAAUGGGGGAAACCCUGAUGCAGCCACGCCGCGUGGAUGAUGAAGGUUUUCGGAUUGUAAACUACUUUUAUUAGAGAAGAUAAUGACGGUCUCUAACGAAUAAGCACCGGCUAACUCCGUACCAGCAGCCGCGGUAAUACGGAGGGUGCAAGCGUUACUCGGAAUCACUGGUCGUAAAGAGCGCGUAGGCGGGAUAGCAAGUCAGAUGUGAAAUCCUAUGGCUUAACCAUAGAACUGCAUUUGAAACUGUUAGUCUAGAGUAUGGGAGAGGGAGGUGGAAUUCUAGGUGUAGGGGUAAAAUCCGUAGAGAUCAAGAGGAAUACUCAUGGCGAAGGCGACCUGCUAGAACAUAACUGACGCUGAUGCGCGAAAGCGUGGGGAGCAAACAGGAUUAGAUACCCGGGUAGUC
rnacentral:rRNA from 1 species